GCUUUGACGAUGUUGCACUACUGUACCAUCGCUGAAGCAGUGCAAUAGUAUUGUCAUAGC
ensembl:miRNA